AUGGAUGAUGAGGUGCAGGAGACUCCAAAUGUCGGUGCUCUUCCCACGAAGGCCCCCAAGGUCAUGAAUUGGACUCCGCCUAUGUCUGCGUUGAUGUUGAAAGGCAUUUCAGAGGUGCCGGCAAGAGGUGCCAAGACUGACAAAGGGUUCAAUGAGGUAAGUGUCUUCAGAGAAGAAAUUCUCCGACUUGCUGGGAUUGCUUGUCAUGAAGAGGAGGGAAAAUCGCAGACAGAGCUACUGGAGAAGCUCAAAACAUGUAACAAGAUUAUGCUAGUUGAACUGUGCCGCUCAUUUGAUGUCCCUGGUUCAACAAGCACUAAGAAGGAUGAAUUAGUGACAAUAGUGAUGGAGUUCUUGAUGGAACACUGUUCUGGUAUUAUUUACACAGAUCCUGAUAAGGCUCAACUUAGCGGUCAGAAAUUUAAGAAAAGAAAGCGCAAGAAGAAUGAAGCAAAUCUAUCUGGUGGUGAACCUUCCAAGAAAAGGAAACCAGAUGGAACUCUACUGGAAAUUCGUAGUCAAGAGGAAGCAGAUGGGAGAAAAGCUGUAGAAGAUAGAACAAACCAUUCCGAGUUCUUCUCGAGGGAUAACAAGACAGGACAAUUUGCGAAGGAACAAGCUAAACCUGGGCCUUUUGAAGGGGUAAAUGACUCCGCGUUGGGGAAAUUAGCUGUAGUUCCGCUCCCAGGAGUACCGUUUCCUACAGAUGAACAAACGCUAAUCACAACACCAUCUGCAAAGUUAGUUAGCAAUGUUGAGAAUGAUGACACGGAUAUGGUGGCUUCAACGAAGAAAAACAUUUCUCUUACCAAGAAAAAGGCAAUCCAAAACACAGAUUCCAAGGAGAAAUCUGGUGGUAAAAUUAUGUCUAGAGGAGAUGCGAAGCCAUGGAAGCAGGCACCGAAACCAAGCAAGGAUGAGCUGAGACAAGCUGUCUUCUGUAUAUUGGGUGCUGCAAAUUUUGCCACGAUGACUUUUGGAGAGGUUGUAAAAGCAGUUGACAAGUACUUUGGCAAGGAUUUGUUCAAGAGAAAGCCGCUGGUAAGGGCCUUGAUAGAGGAGGAGCUGUUUAGGCUAGCCAAGGCGGCUGAGAGGAAGGAAGUGGAAGAGGAGGAAGCAAUGGAAGCAAAAAUAAAAGCCGAACAAGCUGCCAAGGACAGCAGCGCAAGGGAUGGAAGAGUUGAAUCAGAGAUAGACAAGGAACAUGAAGUUGAAGCUGAUCCAGACGGUAAAUCUAAGGAUGCUGAAAAGAUUGGUAACAGCAAUAGUAGUGAAGAAGGUGGUAAAAGUGGGAUUUGUGUGAAGACUGGUGAGAAGGGAAACAGCGCCGCUGCCGCCGCUGAGAAUUUACAAGAUGGAAAGGCAGAAGUUGACGACACGAGGAAGAAAGGAAACAGUGAUGGUUUUGGCAAGGAUUGCGAGGCUGAAAAGGUUGUGCAGAACGCAAAUGGCGAUGGUGGCAUAGAAAUAUUGGGAGAUGGUAAAGCUGAAACUGCGAAUAAUUGCAGCGGUAACACCAUAGGAGGUUCUGGAGAAAAAGAUGGCGGAUCUGAAGAAGGCAGGGCUGAGAAUGAUGCAGAAAAUGCUGGUGACUGUGAACCUGAAGAAUCUGAAACUAAUGAACCAGAAGCAGAAGCAGAAGCAGAAGAUGUCAAAUCUAAGGAAGCCCGUGGCAAUUAG
rnacentral:rRNA from 1 species